ACGAACGCUGGCGGCGUGCCUAACACAUGCAAGUCGAGCGGAGACAGUGAGUAGCUUGCUAUGAACUGUUUUAGCGGCGGACGGGUGAGUAACGCGUGAGCAACCUUUCCCAGACAGGGGAAUAACACACCGAAAGGUGUACUAAUACCGCAUAAGACCACGGAAUCACAUGGUUCUGAGGUAAAAGAUUUAUCGGUUUGGGGUGGGCUCGCGUCCGAUUAGGUAGUUGGUGAGGUAACGGCCCACCAAGCCGACGAUCGGUAGCCGACCUGAGAGGGUGAUCGGCCACAUUGGGACUGAGACACGGCCCAAACUCCUACGGGAGGCAGCAGUGGGGAAUAUUGGGCAAUGGGGGGAACCCUGACCCAGCAACGCCGCGUGGAGGAAGAAGGUUUUCGGAUCGUAAACUCCUGUCCUUGGAGACGAGUAGAAGACGGUAUCCAAGGAGGAAGCCCCGGCUAACUACGUGCCAGCAGCCGCGGUAAUACGUAGGGGGCAAGCGUUGUCCGGAAUAAUUGGGCGUAAAGGGCGCGUAGGCGGCUCGGUAAGUCUGGAGUGAAAGUCCUGCUUUUAAGGUGGGAAUUGCUUUGGAUACUGUCGGGCUUGAGUGCAGGAGAGGUUAGUGGAAUUCCCAGUGUAGCGGUGAAAUGCGUAGAGAUUGGGAGGAACACCAGUGGCGAAGGCGACUAACUGGACUGUAACUGACGCUGAGGCGCGAAAGUGUGGGGAGCAAACAGGAUUAGAUACCCUGGUAGUCCACACAGUAAACGAUGAAUACUCGCUGUUUGCGAUAUACAGUAAGCGGCCAAGCGAAAGCGUUAAGUAUUCCACCUGGGGAGUACGCCGGCAACGGUGAAACUCAAAGGAAUUGACGGGGGCCCGCACAAGCAGCGGAGCAUGUGGUUUAAUUCGACGCAACGCGAAGAACCUUACCAGGUCUUGACAUCCACUUAAACUUACAGAGAUGUAAGGUGUGCUUGCACAAAGUGAGACAGGUGGUGCAUGGUUGUCGUCAGCUCGUGUCGUGAGAUGUUGGGUUAAGUCCCGCAACGAGCGCAACCCUUAUCUUCAGUUACUAACGCGUGAGGGUGAGGACUCUGAAGAGACUGCCGGGGACAACUCGGAGGAAGGUGGGGACGACGUCAAAUCAUCAUGCCCCUUAUGACCUGGGCUACACACGUGCUACAAUGGCCACGACAGAGAGAAGCGAAAUCGUAAGGUAGAGCGGAACUCAAAAAAGUGGUCCCAGUUCGGAUUGUGGGCUGCAACCCGCCCACAUGAAGUCGGAGUUGCUAGUAAUCGCGGAUCAGCAUGCCGCGGUGAAUACGUUCCCGGGCCUUGUACACACCGCCCGUCACACCAUGGGAGUUGGGAGUGCCCAAAGCCGGUGAGGCAACCGCAAGGAGCCAGCCGUCUAAGGCAAGACCAAUGACUGGGGUG
rnacentral:rRNA from 1 species